CGGACGGGUGAGUAAUGUCUGGGAAACUGCCUGAUGGAGGGGGAUAACUACUGGAAACGGUAGCUAAUACCGCAUAACGUCGCAGACCAAAGAGGGGGACCGUUAGGGCCUCUUGCCAUCGGAUGUGCCCAGAUGGGAUUAGCUAGUAGGUGGGGUAACGGCUCACCUAGGCGACGAUCCCUAGCUGGUCUGAGAGGAUGACCAGCCACACUGGGACUGAGACACGGCCCAG
rnacentral:rRNA from 1 species